UAGGGAAUCUUCCACAAUGGGCGAAAGCCUGAUGGAGCAACGCUGCGUGUGUGAUGAAGGGUUUCGGCUCGUAAAACACUGUUGUAAGAGAAGAAUGACAUUGAGAGUAACUGUUCAAUGUGUGACGGUAUCUUACCAGAAAGGAACGGCUAAAUACGUGCCAC
rnacentral:rRNA from 1 species